GGCAUCUUGUCUUGAUGGGUGUGCCUGAAUUCCUAGAGGAAGGGAAGUCCUAUCCCCAGGUGAUGGGUAUUCCUGAAUCUCAAGAGACAGGGGUGGGCACAUGGCCUAUAGGUUACUGAACCUGUCUGUCAAGUGCUUGGAACUGGGAGCUUCCUGUGACCCUGCCCCCUGAC